AUUGAACGCUGGCGGCAUGCCUUACACAUGCAAGUCGAACGGCGGCGCGGGAGCAAUCCUGGCGGCGAGUGGCGAACGGGUGAGUAAUAUAUCGGAACGUGCCCAUUAGUGGGGGAUAGCCCGGCGAAAGCCGGAUUAAUACCGCAUACGACCUGAGGGUGAAAGCGGGGGAUCGCAAGACCUCGCGCUAUUGGAGCGGCCGAUAUCAGAUUAGCUAGUUGGUGGGGUAAAGGCCUACCAAGGCAACGAUCUGUAGUUGGUCUGAGAGGACGACCAGCCACACUGGGACUGAGACACGGCCCAGAGUCCUACGGGAGGCAGCAGUGGGGAAUGUUGGACAAUGGGCGCAAGCCUGAUCCAGCAAUGCCGCGUGCAGGAAGAAGGCCUUCGGGUUGUAAACUGCUUUUGUCAGGGAAGAAAUCCUUUGGGCUAAUACCUCGGAGGGAUGACGGUACCUGAAGAAUAAGCACCGGCUAACUACGUGCCAGCCGCCGCGGUAA
rnacentral:rRNA from 1 species